UACGUAGGGCGCAAGCGUUGUCCGGAAUUAUUGGGCGUAAAGAGCUCGUAGGCGGCUUGUCACGUCGGGUGUGAAAGACCGGGGCUUAACCCCGGUUCUGCAUUCGAUACGGGCAGACUAGAGUUCGGUAGGGGAGACUGGAAUUCCUGGUGUAGCGGUGAAAUGCGCAGAUAUCAGGAGGAACACCGGUGGCGAAGGCGGCGUUCUGGACUGCAACUGACACUGAGGAACGAAAGCCAGGGGAGCAAACGGG
rnacentral:rRNA from 1 species